ACAGCUUGGGGACAUGGGGACAGCCUUGGGACAGCUUGGGGACAUGGGACAGGGAAGUCCCUGGUGUCCCUGUGAGGACCUGGGAUGGUCCCUGUGAGGUUCUGGGAUGGUCAGGGGGGUGUCCCUGGUGUCCCUGUGAGGUUCUGGGGGGGUCCCCAUGGUCCUUGUGAGGUUCUGGGAUGGUCAGGGGUGUCCCUGUGAGGUUCUGGGGGUGUCCCUGGUGUCCCUGUGAGGACCUGGGAUGGUCCCUGUGAGGUUCUGGGAUGGUCAGGGGUAUCCCUGGUGUCCCUGUGAGGUUCUGGGAUGGUCAGGGGUGUCCCUGGUGUCCCUGUGAGGUUCUGGGAUGGUCAGGGGGGUGUCCCUGGUGUCCCUGUGAGGUUCUGGGAUGGUCAGGGGUGUCCCUGGUGUCCCUGUGAGGUUCUGGGAUGGUCAGGGGUGUCCCCAUGGUCCUUGUGAGGUUCUGGGAUGGUCCCUGUGAGGUUCUGGGAUGGUCAGGGGUGUCCUUGGUGUCCCUGUGAGGUUCUGGGAUGGUCAGAGGGGUCCCCAUGGUCCUUGUGAGGUUCUGGGAUGGUCAGGGGUGUCCCCAUGGUCCCUGUGAGGUUCUGGGAUGGUCAGGGGUGUCCCUGGUGUCCCUGUGAGGUUCUGGGAUGGUCCCUGUGAGGUUCUGGGAUGGUCCCUGUGAGGUUCUGGGGGGGUCAGGGGUGUCCCUGGUGUCCCUGUGAGGUUCUGGGAUGGUCAGGGGUGUCCCCAUGUUCCCUGUGAGGUUCUGGGAUGGUCAGGGGUGUCCCUGGUGGCCCUGUGAGGUUCUGGGAUGGUCCCUGUGAGGUUCUGGGAUGGUCAGGGGGGUCCCUGGUGUCCCUGUGAGGUUCUGGGGGGGUCCCUGUGAGGUUCUGGGAUGGUCCCUGUGAGGUUCUGGGAUGCUCAGGGGUGUCCCUGGUGUCCCUGUGAGGACCUGGGAUGGUCCCUGUGAGGUUCUGGGAUGGUCAGGGGUGUCCCUGGUGUCCCUGUGAGGUUCUGGGAUGCUCAGGGGGGUCCCUGGUGUCCCUGUGAGGACCUGGGGCGGCUCAGGGGGGUGUCCCCAGAUGUCCCCAAGGUGCUGACCCCCUCCCC